UCCCAGGGUGGCUCCCCGGCGAGCAAGC
rnacentral:sRNA from 1 species